GAUGAACGCUGGCGGCGUGCUUAAUACAUGCAAGUCGAGCGAACGGACGCUGAGCUUGCUGCGUGCAUGUUAGCGGCAGGCGUGUGUGUAACGCGUGUAUCACCUACCUAUAAUACUGGUAUAACUUGGGGAAACCGGAUCUAAUCGCGUAUAAUAUUUUGAUCCGCAUGGUUCAAUGGUGAAAGACGGUCUUGCUGUCUCGACUCGCUGCAUACGCGCUGCAUUAGCUAGUUGGUAAGGUAACGGCUUACCAAGGCAACGAUGCGUAGCCGACCUGAGAGGGUGAUCGGCGACACUGGAACUGGGACACGGACAAGACGCCUACGAGAGGGAGCAGUAGGGAAUCGUCCGCAAUGGGCGAGAGCCUGACGGAGCAACGCGGCGUGAGUGAUGAAGGUCUUCGGAUCGUAAAACUCUGUUAUUAGGGAAGAACAGAUGUGUAAGUAACUGUGCACAUCGUGACGGUACCUAAUCAGAAAGCAACGGCUAACUACGUG
rnacentral:rRNA from 1 species